GAUGAAGAACGUAGCGAAAUGCGAUAAGUAAUGUGAAUUGCAGAAUUCAGUGAAUCAUCGAAUCUUUGAACGCACAUUGCGCCCGCCAGUAUUCUGGCGGGCAUGCCUGUUCGAGCGUCAUUUCAACCAUCAAGCCCCCCGGCUUGUGUUGGGGACCUGCGGCUGCCGCAGGCCCUGAAAAGCAGUGGCGGGCUCGCUGUCACACCGAGCGUAGUAGAUCUCAUCUCGCUCAGGGCGUGCUGCGGGUUCCGGCCGUUAAACCACCUUCAUAACCCAAGGUUGACCUCGGAUCAGGUAGGAAGACCCGCUGAACUUAAGCAUAUCAAUAAGCGGAGA
rnacentral:misc_RNA from 1 species